rfam:Stegodyphus mimosarum contig72491, whole genome shotgun sequence.
GCCUUCGUGGUGUAGUGGUCAGCACGCUCGGCGCAUAAUCGAAAGGUCCAUGGUUCGAGUCUUGGAGAAGACA